GAUGAACGCUGGCGGCGUGCCUAAUACAUGCAAGUCGAGCGAACGGACGAGAAGCUUGCUUCUCUGAUGUUAGCGGCGGACGGGUGAGUAACGCGUGGAUAACCUACCUAUAAGACUGGGAUAACUUCGGGAAACCGGAGCUAAUACCGGAUAAUAUUUUGAACCGCAUGGUUCAAAAGUGAAAGACGGUCUUGCUGUCACUUAUAGAUGGAUCCGCGCUGCAUUAGCUAGUUGGUAAGGUAACGGCUUACCAAGGCAACGAUGCAUAGCCGACCUGAGAGGGUGAUCGGCCACACUGGAACUGAGACACGGUCCAGACUCCUACGGGAGGCAGCAGUAGGGAAUCUUCCGCAAUGGGCGAAAGCCUGACGGAGCAACGCCGCGUGAGUGAUGAAGGUCUUCGGAUCGUAAAACUCUGUUAUUAGGGAAGAACAUAUGUGUAAAUAACUGUGCACAUCUUGACGGUACCUAAUCAGAAAGCCACGGCUAACUACGUG
rnacentral:rRNA from 1 species